rnacentral:rRNA from 1 species
GACGAACGCUGGCGGCGUGCUUAACACAUGCAAGUCGAACGGAAAGGCCCUGCUUUUGUGGGGUGCUCGAGUGGCGAACGGGUGAGUAACACGUGAGUAACCUGCCCUUGACUUUGGGAUAACUUCAGGAAAAUGGGGCUAAUAUCGGAUAGGAGCUCCUGCUGCAUGGUGGGGGUUGGAAAGUUUCGGCGGUUGGGGAUGGACUCGCGGCUUAUCAGCUUGUUGGUGGGGUAGUGGCUUACCAAGGCUUUGACGGGUAGCCGGCCUGAGAGGGUGACCGGCCACAUUGGGACUGAGAUACGGCCCAGACUCCUACGGGAGGCAGCAGUGGGGAAUAUUGCACAAUGGGCGGAAGCCUGAUGCAGCAACGCCGCGUGCGGGAUGACGGCCUUCGGGUUGUAAACCGCUUUCGCCUGUGACGAAGCGUGAGUGACGGUAAUGGGUAAAGAAGCACCGGCUAACUACGUG